rnacentral:rRNA from 1 species
CACGUAGGGUGCGAGCGUUGUCCGGAAUUAUUGGGCGUAAAGAGCUCGUAGGCGGUGUGUCGCGUCGGCCGUGAAAACCUGCAGCUUAACUGUGGGCUUGCGGUCGAUACGGGCAUCACUGGAGUUCGGCAGGGGAGACUGGAAUUCCUGGUGUAGCGGUGAAAUGCGCAGAUAUCAGGAGGAACACCGGUGGCGAAGGCGGGUCUCUGGGCCGAUACUGACGCUGAGGCACGAAGGCCAGGGGAGCAAACGGG